rnacentral:lncRNA from 1 species
CCAGCUUCCCCUCCCCUCUUUGUGGCUGGCUGCUCCUGGCUUGGCUCGGCUGUGCUGUCUGUCUCUGCAGAGGGAGGGGGGGACGAAGGUAGGAGGGAGGAGUGGGAUAAAUUUCAGCAGGAAUAUUUGGGGGAUACUGUAAAGUAAAAGCGGAGCGUGCAGGCCGACGCGUAUUACUGUGCGGCCGUGCUCCUACCGAUGACAUGAGCGAUAGGUACUCUAGGCAGCACAGCAGCAUUUUUUUAGUUAGACGGUAAGAAUUCAUUUUCCAGCCAGAAGCAAAUGACAGCAGGCACAAAUCAAUCUCUACUCCUAAGGAAGCAGUUGGUAGUCUCGCUUCCAGGGUUUUUUUAGUCCCACCUCUCACGGGUUUUUUCGUCCUAAAAAAAUCUACGAAAUUUCGUAGGUUAACCAGGGACAACUCCCACCUCUCAAGUUUUUCUUUUGUCCCACCUCCCAUGGUUUUUUUGUACCUCGUCCCACCUCACACUAAGCCGCCACGAACCGCAAAAACCACCUACCUUAGCCAAAUCAACAAAUCUCUCUCAUUAAUGCAAUUUUCUUUGGGAAACAAAUAAUAGAUUCUUUCCUACCUUAGCCAAAUCAACGGAUCUCUUCUAUUAAUGCAAUUUGCUUUAGCAAACAAAUAAUAUAUUCUUUCCUACCUUAGCCAAAUCAACGGAUCUCUCCCGUUAAUGCAAUUUGCUUUAGCAAACAAAUAAUAGAUUAUUUCCUACCUUAGCCAAAUCUACGAAAUCUCUCUCAUUAAUGCAAUUUGCUUUAGUAAACAAAUAAUAAAUUUUCAGAAAACAAAUAAUCUCUAAUCUCUAAUAAUUUCUACUCCUAAUGAAGCAGUUGGUAGUCUCCUCCCACCUUCCAUGGUUUUUUUUGGUACCUCCUCCAUCUUCGCUGGUUUUUUUUCGUAGAUUUUUUUCGUUCCCUCCCCUCACUUCAUCGGUUUAUUUUCGCGUCACCCUCUCACAUAACGAAAGAAAUCUAAACAGAUCAGAACUUUCCAUACUGGCGUAAAUUAUUUAGUAAUGUAGAAUCAAUCACGAACAAUCUCUCAAGAUCAAAUCUAAAUUAAUUAACCUUACCUUAAAUCACUCAAUUACAUUAAUUAGAAAACAAAUAAUUGAUUUUCAAAAAAUCGCUCAAUCACGUAAACCUUACCUUAACUCACGGAUGGUAAUCAAUCUCCAAACAAAGGAAACAAUACAUCGAGGGAGCAGUAAAUAAACUCCCUUUCUUAUGACAUGUAUAUGACCUUUCCUUCCCUCUACGUUGCCGAGCGUUCUUGAUUCUCGAGGCCGAUGCUUGGGCUGCGUCACUAGGUCGCGACGGUGCUGGAGGACGAGGACGGCGAGGCCGGGUGCCGCGACACCGUGUUGGCCGCGGCCGAUGAAGGGGGCAAAGAAGGGCGGCUUCCCUGGCCCUGGCCAUGGCCGUGACCCUGGGAGUUGGUGCGGUGGAAGUGGCACUUGAAGGACACGGCGUGGGUGGCCGACGCGCAGACGCGCUUGGAAGCGGGCCCGUGGCCCGUGCCGGACGGCGCCGACGCCGACCCGAGCCACCUUCUCCGCGUAUUCUUGGAGCUGUGGUUGGCCGAUUUACAUGAAAUUAAUUCCCUCAGUUGUGGUGGCAAAUAUAAUACACAUAAUCCAUAUUGUUAUAUACUAGCGUGUGUGUGUGUGAAAUAGAUGGAUUAUGGUCCCGUACCCAAUAAGAUGGAUAUGUGUGUGUGUUAGAGAGAGAGAGGGGGAGGGCAAGAGAGUGAGGAAGAGGGAGGCAGAGAGUGUGUGUGAGGAAUUGAUGGUAAAAAAUGUCGUCAAUGUCACUUGAUAUAUAUGAGAAUAUUAAUAUUGAACUUUUAAACUUAAUGUGGCCCCGUUGCAACGCACGGGUGUUCUUCUAGUCCGUGUAAAAGAAGAGAGUGGUUAAUCCUGACAGACCAUAUCUAGGAACAGAUAAAUAGCAAAAAACUGGGCAGGAUACGGCGAGCUCUCUCGUCUCCGUCAUCUACCGGGUACGGGUACGCCUCUCGUCAGCGCGCAAUUUUUUUUUUUUUGAGGGGACGUCAGCGCGCAUUGAACCGUUGAACUCAGCGUAGGGAGGGGGGAGCCCUACACGCGCGCACACGUGCCGACACGCCUGACCAAAGCGAAGCAGGCGCGUGAGCCUCGCGCAGACGUGCCGGGCGCGCUUGUGCCAAAACCCAAAAGCCGCCCCUCGCUAGCAGCGAGCCGCUCGCCACGCCACAGCAGCAGACGGGCCGGACCUGCGGCUCAAAACAAAUGGCGCCAAAACAACACAACUGGAAAAAAAGGUGCGUAUACGUUUGCAAUAGAACCAAACACUAGCCGAGAGUGGCACCAGCAGUCGUGGCGACAUGAGCGGACAGACCAGGGCGAGGCAGCCCCGACGCCGUCUCGGCUAUCCUCGCAUCCCAUGCUUAACAAAUCCGUCGCAUUUCACGUAUGCACACGGUCUCGCCCAGAACACUCGGAAAUGAUGAUUCGUCGUGGAUGUCGCGUCGAGGGGGCGGCACCUUCCUGGCUUAGCAGCCGUGGACAAGCCGCGACGACACGUCCCUCGCUCGCUCUCCUCAAAUCCAAGUGAUCUCCGUCGCCAAGUCACCACCAGCCCGAGCCGGCCAACACACGCAAACCACACACACACACGGGUGCAAAUCAGAUCGCCCUCAGCUCCCGAUCGAUCGGGACGGGCUCCAUUUAAAACUAUUCAGUAUUUACUAUUUUAGGUGCGUGCGCUCCAUCAGUGGCGUCGACAUGCAAUGCGAUCGUCGCCAGCUCCGGCGCCAUAAUAUAAUCGCCCGCGUAUACUAUAUAAUCUUAAUAAAUUCCUGAACAACAACGGCGCUCCUACAUACGCGAAACAAGGGCAACGACACAAACAUAAUGAGGGCUUCCGGUCCGGGCUCACACAUGGCUGGGAAACCUAAUAAAGGAACCGGCUUUUGGCCGAUAGCAAUGGCCUUGGCCUUGGAGCCUUGCUAGUAGUGCCACAUUCAUGAGCAGGUGCUGUUGGUGCACAAUAUGCAUUCAUCAAGGGGUGCUGGCCUCCCAGAAAACAAGGGUCGUAAACUAAGCGCGCGGUACAUGAAUACACACAGUGAGAUGAUUGUAGGAGUAUACUAGUAUUGAUAAUAAUAUUUCAGCUGAAUUUAAGAAACGAAUCGGCUUCUGUGGAAACUGAGGCUACAUAAACAUGUUGUAUGCAAUGGUUCGAUUGUUGCCCGCACACUUGGAAAUGCGUUUUCUGAUUGAAAACUGGCUCAAAAUCGGUUACUACUACUUGAAUACACAUAGUAAUAAUACUUCGCCUGAAUUGAAGAAACAAAUCGGUUUCUAUAAAAAUUGAAAACUGGCCCAAAAUCGGGUUACUACUACUUGAAUACACAUAGUAAUAAUUACUUCGCCUGAAUUGAAGAAACAAAAUCGGUUACCCACUGUUUCAAUUGUUGUCUGCGCAUUUGGAAGUAUGUUUUCUAAUAGAGAGCUGGCUCGAAACAAAAAUGGAUCAGAUCGCGAUGAAAAUCUAACGCAAGUCUAGCGGACCCCGAGGGCCAGAGUCCCGCUACACCUCUUGGGGUCCUUUAAACUCCAAUAAUUUAUUCGCUUCGAUGUUUCAGUAUAAAAUGAAACAGCCCGACAAUGCCCUAUGCUAGCAAUGUUUACUCGCCUCGAUGUUCCUCCGUCUGCAAAUUAAGCACGGAUCCAAUGUUAAUGCCAAUUUCCUAGGUUAAUCACCGGUCGUCGUCGUUAGUAGUGUUUCUACUGCUACUAGUAAAUCCAUAAGCAAACCUGACAAGAAAACGUGGCAUGUGCGUCUCUAGUGACACAUUCCUGAUGGGUACCGCUUGCAAGUCCAGAAAAGGGUUGGAUGUCGAUUACACACAUUUAACAGCACAUUGCAGGGCUCUACUGUGCUGUCGCACUAAGCUCCCAGCUUUAGUUGCAAUGAUUCCUACCACUUAGUAGUUAGUACAGCCCCAAACAUCUUUGUGUCCACCGCUGUUUCUGUAGUAGGAGUAGGUGAUAUCACGUGGCUAUCUUUUUCUCACCGGGAAUUUUAUGCCUUUCUGAGACAAUGGUGCUCGUACUACUUGCUGGGCCAGAAAACAUAUGACAACACAAAGGAAGUCAAGAGCACUCAGCACAGACAUUCCUAAUUGCCCUUUCCUGAAUGAACUUGUGCCAUAUACAGAGUUUAUGGGUAAGAAGGUUGCAUGCUGGAAUGGACGAACGCGCAGGGACUUGGCUGAAACCUGGGCAUAAAAAAACUCCCAAAUGGUACAAAAAAGAUGCGCUAGGCGUUCAGGCUAAGGACUAAUCGGCACUGUUAUUCCCCAGAAGAGCAUCAGAGGUCACGUGCAGCCGCAGAACCAUUUCAGACUAAGGGGCUGUUUGGUUCUAGGCCUAGCAUUGUCACACUUUGCCACAUAUUUUGGCCAAGCUUACCUAAGGUUAGUUCAUCAAAAUGAAAGCCACAAGUUGGCAUCUUGGCAUCCAAGGUGAGAACGGAUAAACCAUGGCUAAUUUGAUGGUAGUGGCAGAGAUGUAAUGCAGCUAAUUAUAUAUAGGCGCCACUUAGGCUAAUGACGACGCCUCGGCCACCUCUCUCUCCCCUUGUUGACCGUAUGAUACCGCCGCACAUGCAGGGGGGAGGAUUCUAAUGGUACGCCGCGCCAACGUCAAAUCGCGUCGGAUUAAGGUAUUUGGUUAUCUGCAAUUGGGCCGCAGGGAAUAGAUUCUGACGAACCAAAUACGUCCGUCCACCAGCAAUGCCGAUGGUACUACCACUAAAGGUAUACUAAUGCUACCACCGUCCGUAUAUUCUGUAAUUGUCAGAUUCGAUGGGUGGUAUUCUUUCUUCCUGGCGCGUCGAUUGCUGUUGGUGGUAGAAUCUUACGGCAUGCGUGGUGCAAGAAACCUUAAUCUUACAGCGGUGAUAACAUAAACUUCUGGGCGAGGAGGACUCAACAGUGGGUCGGUGAUAAUCAUAUCGUUGGUGAGAUGCAGGGAUGUACUGGUACGAAUUUUCCACUUGUCGUAGACGUGUAGCUGAAGGUGAGUGCGUAGGUGCCACACGCACACACACACGCCGAAUGCGACUAAUGACGGAAAUUAUCUGUCGCUAUUGGCUUUGACUAAUCGAACAGGGACUAGUCAUGGUUGCGUUAUUGCCGGGUGCAGUGCGAUAUCCAUCUUAGAGCAUCUUCAACAGUCGCCCCAAACGACGCGCGCGGGAAGCGUUUGCGCGCGCGCGCGAAAAGGCCAGCUCACGCGCAAGAUUUGGCGCGCCGCUUCGCGCGCGCCUAUAAAAGCUGCGCGUGCCACGCGCCUUCUCCACACACAUCUCUUCCCCUCUCCCUCUCCCUUUCUGCCACGCGCCGCUCCAGCGCUUCGCCACCGCCGCGCCGCCAUGCCGCUGCGCCGCCGAGGAGCGUCCGGCCACCGCGGCGUCCGCCUGCGGCCCAACGGCAGCUACACCACGGAGAUACGCUCCGGCGAACUCCGGCUCGCCCUCGGCACGUACGGGACGGCGCAACAGGCUGCCCGCGCGUACGACGCGGCGGCGUGGCGCCUAGGCCGGCCGCGCGGCCAGAUGAACUUCCAAGAUGUGUACACCCUCGAGCAAGCGCUCAACCUCGCCCCUCUGCCUCGUCUGAACACGGAGGAAGACCGUGCGGAGCACGCCGAGCGGCAACGCCGCCUCCUCGUCGCCCAGGAGGACGAGAGGGUCAUGGCGGACUGGCGCCAGCGCCACCCGGAGGACGUCGCCUACGAGCAAGCCUACUGGGCAAGGCGCCGCGAGGAAGACACGCAAAGGUGCCGCGCGUCGCGGUUGGACAAGCGUCGGCGGAAGGCGUUGGCGAAUGCGCAGUCCGACCUCGUUGCAGCAGGUGGGCGGUCGUUCUUCACGCCGAACGAUGAGCGGUGGCUGGACAUCUGGCUAUCUACCUCGGACGACACCGCCGAGGAUGAUAGUGGUGAUGAUGAUAGCGACUUAGAGUAGUUUUUUUUUGUUAAUGCAAUUUAUGUUUAUCGUUUGUCGUUUUUAUUUUAUGCAAUCUAUGUUUCGGAUGUAAAAUACCUUUGUAUCGUUUAAUCUAUGCAAUCUAUCUAGUUUUUUAAAAAAAUUCAACUUUUAAAAAUGCAUACAUUUUUAGUCGCACGCGUUGCAUUUUAGCGCGCUGCAUUUCAGCGCGGCUGCUGGAGCCAGCGCAGCGCUGCAUUUUAGCGCGCUGCAUUUCAACAGGUUUUUUGCGCGCGGCGCUUUAGCGCAGCUGUUGGAGAUGCUCUUAGGGCAACAACGGAAAGGAGACGCAAAACUGGAAUUGUGGGAGGAAAGUGCGAAGAAGUAUUUGGUACCUCUAGCAGCACUUUGAGAAAUUUACUGUGUAGUGGCGCCAGUGUACUGCACCCUGCAACUACAAGCAAGGCUGCAACGGCUUUCGCUUACAAAUAGUCACGGGUACACCGCUGCCGCCCGUUAACCAUGGCUUCACGCUUUCACUGUUCAAGUAUUCCUACUCCUGCCUCGACACACAAAAGUACUUCUACUCCACAACCCUAUACGUAUGGUAGUGGAGUACGUGCUAGUCCAUGCACAGUAACUCUACCGACAGUACAGUUCACGUGUCCGACCCUCAGGUAAAUCUCUCAUGAUGAUGGUAAGUGAGUGGUAACAUCACAUCACCUGGCACGGCUGGCAGGUGGGCCGCGGCCGGUGGCGCCGCGGCUGGCAGGUGGGCCACGCAUGAACAGCGGUAGUAGUGUACAGUAGAGCCGCUGAAGUCAACAACAGCGUAGCUAAUACUCGUACUGGACAAGUACUUAGCUCACGCUCUACGGCAGGAGACAAAGGUCGGUGUGCGCCGUGGUCCACCGGCCCGGCCCGUGUGCGUGGCCGUAGACGUGGUGGACAGUGCGCAGAAUGCAAGGACCAAUCGUGCACUCACAAAAGAAAAGGUCUAUCUCACGCCCUAGCACCCAUUUACGAGCGCAUUCAAAGCGCGCUAAAUUACGACGCGACGGGGUUGAACGCUGCGUUCCUGAUGGACGGCUGGUGAUUUUUUGGCGCGGUCUGUCUCGUCCGCCGAGAGUUUUGCUCCGGUGGGCAAUGGCGUGCGUGUGGUUGAUUUGUCACGGGGACUUUUGCGGUACUACGAGCUUAGGAACGUCGCUAUCCUCUUCGUACUUCAGAAAUCAACCACGUGUUUUUGCCAGAAAAAAUUAACAUGGGGCGCGUCAGCAAACACACUUGUAGGACUAGUACUAGUAAACUAGUGGGGAGGAAAACUACAAGGAGCGCUGCGCUGUUUUUGGUUUUUCCUUGGCCCAAAGGCCAAAUUUCUUCCCCCUCGCACAAAAAAUUUCAAACAAAGAAGAUGACCUCGCAUAUCAUGCCAGGACAAAACAAAAAACAAUUGAUAAGCACCUGACGAAUUCGAGACUGGGAAACCUAUGUUAAGUUUUUCGAGACCAAAAUGAUCUUUGCUACUACUCCUAGAAGAAACGGCAGCGGAGGAACCACGCGAUUGAUUGAAUCGUAGAGGAAGGGAAGAGAACUCACCAGAUGACGAUGAAGCAAGCGGGCGACGGAGGCGCAGAUUAUCUCCCGUUGGUGAGAAAAGAGGAACCAAUCUUGCGAACCACUCGCCCCUCCCCGCACGCCGCACCCCUUCUUCCUCCCCGGUUCCCUCGGUCUCUUGUCUCGGACUCAAACAAGGGGCUGGCAGUCAGGAAACUCGUGAAGUCGUGGUCGGCGCAGGCAAGCUCGUGCUCGUGCUCGUCCCCCACGACACCGACCUGUCGCCGCCUCGUCUCGUCCGGGGCAGAGGCCACGGGAUGGAGGGGCACGGGCGGCACCGGGCAGGGAGACGACGACGCGCUAUUGUGUUGGGAUUGGGAGGCGACGAUAAGAGAAAAACUGGAGUGGUAGGAUUUCCUUCCAAACCCCGUCAUUGAUCACCUGGGGCGUAUUUAUUCGGAUUCAAUGCGCG